GAAGGUGUGCUGUGAGGCAUGCUGGAGGUAUCAGAAGUGCGAAUGCUGACAUAAGUAACGAUAAAGCGGGUGAAAAGCCCGCUCGCCGGAAGACCAAGGGUUCCUGUCCAACGUUAAUCGGGGCAGGGUGAGUCGACCCCUAAGGCGAGGCCGAAAGGCGUAGUCGAUGGGAAACAGGUUAAUAUUCCUGUACUUGGUGUUACUGCGAAGGGGGGACGGAGAAGGCUAUGUUGGCCGGGCGACGGUUGUCCCGGUUUAAGCGUGUAGGCUGGUUUUCCAGGCAAAUCCGGAAAAUCAAGGCUGAGGCGUGAUGACGAGGCACUACGGUGCUGAAGCAACAAAUGCCCUGCUUCCAGGAAAAGCCUCUAAGCAUCAGGUAACAUCAAAUCGUACCCCAAACCGACACAGGUGGUCAGGUAGAGAAUACCAAGGCGCUUGAGAGAACUCGGGUGAAGGAACUAGGCAAAAUGGUGCCGUAACUUCGGGAGAAGGCACGCUGAUAUGUAGGUGAAGUCCCUCGCGGAUGGAGCUGAAAUCAGUCGAAGAUACCAGCUGGCUGCAACUGUUUAUUAAAAACACAGCACUGUGCAAACACGAAAGUGGACGUAUACGGUGUGACGCCUGCCCGGUGCCGGAAGGUUAAUUGAUGGGGUUAGCGGCAAGGCGAAGCUCUUGAUCGAAGCCCCGGUAAACGGCGGCCGUAACUAUAACGGUCCUAAGGUAGCGAAAUUCCUUGUCGGGUAAGUUCCGACCUGCACGAAUGGCGUAAUGAUGGCCAGGCUGUCUCCACCCGAGACUCAGUGAAAUUGAACUCGCUGUGAAGAUGCAGUGUACCCGCGGCAAGACGGAAAGACCCCGUGAACCUUUACUAUAGCUUGACACUGAACAUUGAGCCUUGAUGUGUAGGAUAGGUGGGAGGCUUAGAAGUGUGGACGCCAGUCUGCAUGGAGCCGACCUUGAAAUACCACCCUUUAAUGUUUGAUGUUCUAACGUUGACCCGUAAUCCGGGUUGCGGACAGUGUCUGGUGGGUAGUUUGACUGGGGCGGUCUCCUCCUAAAGAGUAACGGAGGAGCACGAAGGUUGGCUAAUCCUGGUCGGACAUCAGGAGGUUAGUGCAAUGGCAUAAGCCAGCUUGACUGCGAGCGUGACGGCGCGAGCAGGUGCGAAAGCAGGUCAUAGUGAUCCGGUGGUUCUGAAUGGAAGGGCCAUCGCUCAACGGAUAAAAGGUACUCCGGGGAUAACAGGCUGAUACCGCCCAAGAGUUCAUAUCGACGGCGGUGUUUGGCACCUCGAUGUCGGCUCAUCACAUCCUGGGGCUGAAGUAGGUCCCAAGGGUAUGGCUGUUCGCCAUUUAAAGUGGUACGCGAGCUGGGUUUAGAACGUCGUGAGACAGUUCGGUCCCUAUCUGCCGUGGGCGCUGGAGAACUGAGGGGGGCUGCUCCUAGUACGAGAGGACCGGAGUGGACGCAUCACUGGUGUUCGGGUUGUCAUGCCAAUGGCACUGCCCGGUAGCUAAAUGCGGAAGAGAUAAGUGCUGAAAGCAUCUAAGCACGAAACUUGCCCCGAGAUGAGUUCUCCCUGACUCCUUGAGAGUCCUGAAGGAACGUUGAAGACGACGACGUUGAUAGGCCGGGUGUGUAAGCGCAGCGAUGCGUUGAGCUAACCGGUACUAAUGAACCGUGAGGCUUAACCUUACAACGCCAAAGGUGUUUUG
rnacentral:rRNA from 1 species